GCUUGGUGCAGUGGUGCAUACCUGUUGUCCUAGCUACUUGUAAACAGAGGCAGGAUGAUUGCUUGAGCCCAGGAGUUUAACCUGAGCAGCACAGCAAGACUUCAUCUCUA
rnacentral:sRNA from 1 species